UCGAAUUUUUCAAUGAACAAUCCCAUUCUCAUAGAAUGUAGAAGCAUAAUUCAGUAUCGUGCCAACCGGCUUAGGGAUACCAUACCAUACAGCCACAAAUAAGCAAAUAAAAAGUCAGACUCAAGAUGAGAGUAAGUUGCAACAGAGACAAGAAUGAAGAAGGUUAUUUUAUGCUCAUCAGUUUUGUUUGACUAAUCAACUCGUAGAACGAAAUCAACAUGGUCACAAGAUCAUGACAUGAGUGUGGUUAGUGGUGAUUGUCAAUUCUGUAACUCAUUAAAAAGUAGCUGAUCUAAUCCUCAAGGUUUCAGCGUAAUUUAAAAGAAAUUAAUGAAGGAAGAACGAAAGAGAAAGAAUAAGUUUGCAUUCAUCCUCGGAAUCCAAAUUACGGAAAAAUAAAGCACCAAGAAAAAUGUACAAUACCAAGAAGUUCUUUCUUUAUUUUUCCCCCUUCAGAUUACAGGCACCAAAACCUAUAUGGAAGCAAUCAACAACAUGGAAAAUUGAAGUAAGAGCCGAACAGU
rnacentral:lncRNA from 1 species